rnacentral:sRNA from 1 species
UUCCGAUACACUCUGAAGGCUGCAAGGAU